rnacentral:rRNA from 1 species
GACUCUAUUCAACGGCCGCGGUAUCCUAACCGUGCGAAGGUAGCGUAAUCACUUGUUCUUUAAAUGUGGACUAGUAUGAAUGGCAUCACGAAGGUUAUACUGUCUCCUUUUUCUAAUCAGUGAAACUAAUCUCCCCGUGAAGAAGCGAGGAUAAAACUAUAAGACGAGAAGACCCUAUGGAGCUUUAAACAUUUAUAACACUUGCUAAAUAAAAUACAAAUUUCAGAAUUAUUUAAUCUUUAAGCAACUUGUCUAUAAGUUUUUGGUUGGGGUGACCGCGGAGCAUAAUACAACCUCCAUGUUGAAAGAUCUAUUUCUAAGCUAAGAGCUACACCUCUAAGCAUCAACAUAUUGACAUCCAUUGACCCAAUAUAUUUGAACAACGAACCAAGUUACCCUAGGGAUAACAGCGCAAUCCACUUCAAGAGCUCCUAUCGACAAGUGGGUUUACGACCUCGAUGUUGGAUCAGGGUUUCCCAGUGGUGCAGCCGCUACUAAAGGUUCGUUUGUUCAACGAUUAAAACCCUACGUG